rnacentral:rRNA from 1 species
AUUGAACGCUGGCGGCAUGCCUUACACAUGCAAGUCGAACGGUAACAGGUUAAGCUGACGAGUGGCGAACGGGUGAGUAAUAUAUCGGAACGUGCCCAGUAGUGGGGGAUAGCCCGGCGAAAGCCGGAUUAAUACCGCAUACGACCUACGGGUGAAAGGGGGGGAUCGCAAGACCUCUCGCUAUUGGAGCGGCCGAUAUCAGAUUAGCUAGUUGGUGGGGUAAAAGCUCACCAAGGCGACGAUCUGUAGCUGGUCUGAGAGGACGACCAGCCACACUGGGACUGAGACACGGUCCAGACUCCUACGGGAGGCAGCAGUGGGGAAUUUUGGACAAUGGGCGCAAGCCUGAUCCAGCAAUGCCGCGUGAGUGAAGAAGGCCUUCGGU